AUGAACGCUGGCGGCGUGCCUAAUACAUGCAAGUCGAGCGAACGGACGAGAAGCUUGCUUUUCUGAUGUUAGCGGCGGACGGGUGAGUAACACGUGGAUAACCUACCUAUAAGACUGGGAUAACUUCGGGAAACCGGAGCUAAUACCGGAUAAUAUUUUGAACCGCAUGGUUCAAAAGUGAAAGACGGUCUUGCUGUCACUUAUGGAUGGAUCCGCGCUGCGUUAGCUAGUUGGUAAGGUAACGGCUUACCAAGGCAACGAUGCAUAGCCGACCUGAGAGGGUGAUCGGCCACACUGGAACUGAGACACGGUCCAGACUCCUACGGGAGGCAGCAGUAGGGAAUCUUCCGCAAUGGGCGAAAGCCUGACGGAGCAACGCCGCGUGAGUGAUGAAGGUCUUCGGAUCGUAAAACUCUGUUAUUAGGGAAGAACAUAUGUGUAAGUAACUGUGCACAUCUUGACGGUACCUAAUCAGAAAGCCACGGCUAACUACGUG
rnacentral:rRNA from 1 species